GUGCAGGUCUAUAGAUUAUAAAUGUGACUGGUGUUAUAAUGGUUAUUAUUUCUAUUAGAUAGAGCAGAAGCAAGGAAAGUGCCUCUCUUUCUAUUUCUCUCUUGCCGAUUAAAAAAAAGCUAAAUCCACUCAUUAUUUCAGAUUCAAAAGUCUACUUGCUGUCCCAGUGACAGGGGACUUUACAUUACAGCUUUGCAUUUUGUAAAUCUUGAGUCAGCUUGAGCUUUGCUCGUUCAGUGCAAUAGAUUUGAGAAAAGAUAUGGUUUAUUAAUAAUAAUAGAAAAGAGCCAGUUGUUAUCGCCAUGGAAACCGCAGGCACGCUGAAACUGCAUGCAAGCUUUAGCACGGUAGCGCUCACGGCCAUUCUCCGCCCGACUCAUGUUUUACACACAAUAUUAAUCAGACUUUGGGACCCGAAGUUAUUUAACUAUGACUGACCCGGACCCGACUGACCAUUUCAAAUACAAACCCGGAACCAUACGGGCCGUGGGUGCUCUGUGAAGUCCUCUAAUGUUAAAAAUCUGCUCAAGUUCAGAAACAUGAAGGAUAAAUGUGACACGAGCUUGUUCGCGUCGCAUCCCAAUUCAUUGAGAAACAGAGAGCACGUGAACGCAUACUGAACUCAUCAUGUCGCACAUCAUGUCGCACACAAAAUGUCAUUAUUAAAGAGUGUCAUCAUCACGGAAAAACAAAAAAGUUUGCCAAUUUUUUUGGAAUGCUAUGAAUCGAUUCUGAAUCGGCAAAGCUUGAAUCGCGAUUCAAAUUUGAAUCGAUUUUUUUCACACCCCUAGUUGUCAUGUUGACUUAUUAUAUUUGUUUUAGCUUAUUUGUGCCUCUCUUAUUAUGUUGGUCAGUUGAAUGUUAAUUAGAUCCAAUCCAUGUUUGGUAAAAAUAAUUUGAUGCAGAAAUAAAUUAGCUAAUAGACCAACUGUAUAGUAUUGUAUACAAGUGUUUAGUAUCAGUAUCGGCCAGAAGUUGUCUGUUUAAAUUGGUAUCGGUAUCGGCCCAAAAAAUCCUAUCGGUGCAUCCCUAACAGAAACUCUAACUUACUUGCACUGGUGAAGCAUAUGUAUGAAACACGUCAUUCACAAACGCACACACAUGAUAACUGUAGGCUAUUUUAAAGAUCUGAUUUUAUAAAGUCUCAGUAAGCCGUUGGAUUGUUGCAAUUUACUAUGUGCUGAACACUGGGCAAAUCUAUUCUCUUUGUUAUGAAGUUUCCAUUGAGAUUGAGUGAGGAUUCCCAUGGAGGAUGCUUCAAGAGCAUUUACUCUGCUCCCAGGAAGGCAUAAUCGUAGCAUACAGGAUGGUUUAGGUUUAUCAAUUCUGCACCCGGGAUGUGCAUAAACGGUCCGGUCAAGCGCAUAAUUCCCAAAAUAACCAUCUGCACCCUAAAGCUGUGACAGUUUUGCGCAAGAAAGGAAAAUAUAUUUAGCAUAUUUAAUUGAUCAAACGUGCCUACACUGUAAAAAGUCAUUCUGUAGGCUUGUAGAUUUGAUGAAAUUGAAUAUGUAAACUUUAUUUAAUACAAUUAAUGUCAUGUAGUUUGGUAUUUUUUUUGUGUUAAAAUUACUUGAAAAUGACUGGAAUAAAAACUACUUAUUGUUUUUGUGAAGGAUUAAGCUAUUCUUAUGGUGUAUCUGCGAAUGUAGCGAAUACCGAAUACAUCCAACGUAAUACAAAUGAGCUGUUUUAAAUGAACAACCAUUUCAGGUUGAUAUGCAGGUCGUGAGCACUGAGCAGACGGAUUUAGGAAAUAUAACUUAUACUGUGCCACAAUUCAAAGUUUUGAAAGCAUUUCAGUCGAGAAUGUAUGUUUUUUAAACAAGAAUCUGCAGUAGGUUCAUAAAGAUAUCGUCUAUUUAAACAUUUCCUUCAAAUUUUUUGCGAUGGGAGCUCCAGAUACUCCGUGGGCGCUCAGCGCUCAUAUAUACCGGACAACGGUGCCUCACCUCGGCCAGUCUUGCUGAAAAUCACUGCUGGCAAAUACGUCAAUGUAGUGUUUAUAAACUGUGGAUAAAAUUCAUUUGGGGUAAAUUUAACGGGCAAUCUUUGGUCUUAUAAAUCUAUACGCAGUGUUUCUUUGUAUAAUUUGUUUGUAAUUCGUAAAUAUUAAUUAGAAUAAGGAUUAAUAUGAACUGGGUUUGGACGUAACUUCAGCUUUAGGACCUUCUAGGUCAUUUCUAGGAUGCAUUCGUCAUCAAAACUGUCUUAUAUCAGAAUAUUAACACAUUGAGUUUUAUUCUUAGUUAAUCGUAAAUUGUUGUAAUAUGCGUAUGACUUGCGAAUGUAAUACUUAGUUAACUUAAACAAACCAGGCUAAUUGGCAUAUGCAGUCUGCAUAUGUGACCUCCGCAGUCUGCAACCUUCGGACUCAGAAACGGCCUGCGAUUGGUGGCUUAGCUGUAACUAAUUUUAAGUGACAGAAAAACUGACCAAUCAUAUUGUUCAUCUGAAUGGGUGGGUUCUCUUAAUCCGCUCGCUCCCUCUGAGGUUCGUGUUUUAAAGAUACACUGUUAGAUGUCGCUGUAGAUUUAGCAGUACAUUACUGUAAAAAUCCACAGUACUAUACUGUAUGUGUACAUUACAGUAAAGUACUGCAGUUCAUAGUGCAUUCUGGGUAAAUUUGUUUGAGCGGGAAAAUUUUACAGUAUAUUUUGGUAUUGAUGUAACCUAGCUGUAGUCAUUGCUGUAAUGUGCCAUGGAAUAAUACAGUGUUAGUGUAAUCAAGUGCGCCAACAUCAAAUCACACAGAAAGAGGGAGAGCACAACUCUUGACUGCAGCUGAAGGAGGACGAUUGGUUUCUGUCAGUUCGCUCUAAAGUUACAGUUUGCUCCACUUUGCUCUGUGCUUUAUAUGUUUUCUUCUUACCAUUGCUUGUAAGCUGGAUUGGGUGGCUCAUCUUUAAAGGAACCAGGAGUUAAGGCAGAUGUGGAGGCACACGGGUGACACCAGACACACACCAAGCAUAUUAUGUUCGGACAUUCAAUCAUGACAUGAUCCAUGUGGAUGCUGUCCAUUGAGGAAAGAGUUUGUUCAGAGGUUUCUGGACAUAAUUAAUCCCAAAGAUGGGAAAAAGUGCACAUCCAGACAAAGGGGCAAGCAAAAAGACAAGGAAAUUGGUGCAGAGAAAAGCUGUGGCCAUUAACCCCCAUGUGAACAGCUUCAUGCAGUCCCUGAUAGAGUUUGAAUGGGCGACUUCAAACUAAAGGCCAGUGUCUGUCUGCCACAGUUUAAUGCAUUUAUUUUUAGUGUUCAAUGAAAUUCAAAUAGAAUUUUUAAAACUAUGGGCCAGUGUUCUUUCUACCACAGUGAAAUGUUACCUUUUAGUCGAUGAUGGACUUUAAACUGAAAACUUCAAACUAUGGAACAGUGUUCUAGUGUUGUCAGAUUCCAAAACUCGUGUCCCGCGGAAUCGAUACUCCGAGACAAGUUGUGAGUUGUUUUUUAUGUAACUCUGCAAACACCAGCUGCACAUUCUCGCUCUCUCUCUUUUUCUUUUAAACGGCGCCGCACACACAGUGCACGUGAAUGCAGUGCUCCGCCUCCUCUCCUCAUCUCGUUCGCUCUGGUUUAACAGUACAAGAAAGCCAAGCAGCAUUGCUGUGUGGAGGUUUUUUCGGAGUCAAAUAAACAUGCGAACCCGACACAAGUGAAGUAAGCCAAAUAUGCGUUGCUACAGAGCCGUGUGCUAACGGCGCAAAGCACUGAAGGACCGACACGCCGACGAGAGAUUGAUAAUCAUCCCAGAGUAUUUAUUCUAGACUUACCAAAUUGUUGUUGAUAUGCGUGUUGUCACGUUUUGCCUGUAAUGAUCCAAGUUAAUACAAUCGCCUCAGAGUUAUCAGACUUAGAAAUUAGACAGCAUUUUAGCUGAAAAGAAAACUUUUACUGUGGUAAAAAGUAAAUGAACCCAGAUACUGUUGUGCUUUAAGUUCACAAAAACACGUCAUUUAUUAACCCUCAUGUCGUUCAGUGAGGUAUAUUUUCACAUUUACACUAUAAUCUGUUUAUCAUAUGUUAAUGUAUUAACAUUAACAAACAGAAAGCAAUGCAUUUGUUUAAGUACUUGUUUAUCUUUUUUUACUAUGCUAAUGCUCACUAGAGAAAAACUAAGAUAAUGCUGCUAAAAUUAUUAUUUUUUUACCUUGAAUGCCAUUGCUCUAAUUUAUUUUUUAAAUUUUGAUAUAUUUUAUAUUUUGCUUUAAUGUUUAAUAUAUCUGCUGUUCAUAUGUUCAUUUAUUAGUGCGUUAUAUGAUUAGAAUUUUGUCCCGUUUUUAAUUUAAAGCACAGCAAUGAGAUUUGAGAGUGUUUCUCCCUUUUCAGGAAAAGUAUCGAAAAAGUAUCGGAAUCGAAACCAUUGACAUAGUAUCGGUAUCGAACCAAUAAUGUUGGUAUCGUGACAACACUACAGUGUUCUAUUUGCCAGAGUUAAAUAUGUUACAGCAGGGGCCUCCAAACUUGUUUAUACUUUAUAAUAUUUUAUUUUAUU